rnacentral:rRNA from 1 species
UACGGGGGGGGUAAGCGUUGUUCGGAAUCACUGGGCGUAAAGGGUGCGUAGGCGGGUCUUUAAGUCAGGGGUGAAAUCCUGGAGCUCAACUCCAGAACUGCCUUUGAUACUGAGGAUCUUGAGUUCGGGAGAGGUGAGUGGAACUGCGAGUGUAGAGGUGAAAUUCGUAGAUAUUCGCAAGAACACCAGUGGCGAAGGCGGCUCACUGGCCCGAUACUGACGCUGAGGCACGAAAGCGUGGGGAGCAAACAGG